AUUGAACGCUGGCGGCAGGCCUAACACAUGCAAGUCGAGCGAGUGGCGGACGGGUGAGUAAUGUCUGGGGAACUGCCUGAUGGAGGGGGAUAACUACUGGAAACGGUGGCUAAUACCGCAUACUAUCGGAUGUGCCCAUAUGGGAUUAGCUAGUAGGUGGGGUAAAGGCUCACCUAGGCGACGAUCUCUAGCUGGUCUGAGAGGAUGACCAGCCACACUGGAACUGAGACACGGUCCAGACUCCUACGGGAGGCAGCAGUGGGGAAUAUUGCACAAUGGGCGCAAGCCUGAUGCAGCCAUGCCGCGUGUAUGAAGAAGGCCUUCGGGUUGUAAAGUACUUUCAGCGGGGAGGCGUUACCCGCAGAAGAAGCACCGGCUAACUCCGUGCCAGCAGCCGCGGUAAUUC
rnacentral:rRNA from 1 species